rnacentral:rRNA from 1 species
UACGUAGGGUGCGAGCGUUGUCCGGAAUUAUUGGGCGUAAAGGGCUCGUAGGCGGUUUGUCGCGUCGGGAGUGAAAACCAGGUGCUUAACACCUGGCUUGCUUUCGAUACGGGCAGACUAGAGGUAUGCAGGGGAGAACGGAAUUCCUGGUGUAGCGGUGAAAUGCGCAGAUAUCAGGAGGGACACCGGUGGCGAAGGCGGUUCUCUGGGCAUUACCUGACGCUGAGGAGCGAAAGUGUGGGGAGCGAACAGG